ensembl:lncRNA
GCACUGUCAAGAUUAUUUUGCAUUUGUGAGUGCACAAAUCAAGCUUCUGCGUGUAACCAGGAACUCUCCCCUCCCCCUGGCUUUAUGGAUGUGGGAUUUCACUUGCAGCAACGGCUCAUGCUCUCCAUGGGAGCCUCUGUCACGUUUUUUCUCUGUGCCAAUCCGUCCCCCUGUGGAGAGAGUUUAUAGCAACCAACAAUGAAUGGAGAGGAUUGAGGCAGAUGUGAAUAAAGGGCUAGUGAACAUUUUUAGCUCAAAAGAAUGAGCUGUGAUCACUUGGUUCCUAAGCAGGCGGAAUUGCAGCGUCUGGCAAGCAGUGGCCUUGCAGACUUCUGUCCGAAACAACUGUGUCUCCUGUAACGUAAUUAUGAGCAGCAGGCCACCAGAGUGAGCUUUGCUCUUCUUUCCCUGCAAUAUCUGUUUGAUGUAAGAGAAGAAGCGGUGGUGUGUAGUCAACUGGAGUGAAUCUGUACAUUCUCCAGGCCCGGUCUUGUGAGACUUUGUCCCACUGUUGUUCCCACUCAGAGCUGAGCAGAAACCACGCACGUCUGAAUAACGGGGGCCCUUUCUGCCUGUUGUAAUCCUGGAUUGUUACAGUCUAGGGGCCAGCCAUGCUGUCACCGUCACAAAUUGAUUUAACCAUCAAUUGCAGUGGUCAUUAAAGCUGCUAGAAGUCCCAGCCAAGCUGAUGAAUUGCAGCUGAAUGUGAAAUGAGCCUCCAAGACUGUUUCCCACCAUCUCAUAUCAAAGCCUAUUGUGUCUCUCCAAAGUAAAGGGUCGGAGGUUCAGCCUGGAGUUCAACAAUGGGCUCAGUCAGAAGAUAGAGCCCCCUUCACCCCAGCAUUCCCAAUUACAGUUUUCUUUCCAUGCCUUAUUGUGCAGUAUUUGCAUCCAACUAAUACGUUGAAUUAUUGACAUACCCCAGUGUCAAUGGAGCUUUUGAAAGAUUUAUCCCCCAAAUAUAUGGAAUCCCAAGCAUCUGGUGGCUCCCCAGUAUUGACAAUGAAAUGAUUCCCUGGUUUUCCUCCUCUGGCAGCCUAUUCGACUUAUCUGAUCUGAAUGGCUAUCUUUACUCAGCAGAGAUUAGCUGCUUCCAGGCCUCACACACAAAAAGCCCCAAGUCUGCUUCUGGAAGUCUUUUUCCUUCAGAUGUAUUGUUCCCUGCACUUGAUUUGCUACUCAUUUUUAUAUAGCACUUAAAUCUGCUAGACUUGCGCUUAGUGCCUGUUAGUAACAGGAGAAAAAGAAUGAAAAAUUAUCCAAUGUACUCCAAUUCCCCUCUCUUUUUUUUCCUUUUGUCUUUUUUUUUUUUUUUUGUCCUGACAUAUCUGCAUGAUUGAUACAGUCUUCUUGCAUUUUUGGCUUGCUACUAAGCUACACAUGGUACAGGCUACCAGAUGAAAUCGUAUCCCUUGUGCUCGGGGGGAGCAUUUGCACGCUGGGCACACACAAGCUGUUUUCCUGCGCAGACUGUCUUGUCAGAGAGUCCCAUCCCUGUGGGUGAGGUACUCUGGGGUGCAGAAUCUGAAGUAAGACACUGCAACUGUGAUUGCAUAUAUGCAAAGUCUGGGAAGGUUCCUGCUGCACACGUGGGCAGAAAAAGAAGUUAGAAAAGAAGGGUGGAGCAUUCAGUAAAGAGGUCACAGGUCCAGACAAUCCCAAUGUAUUAAUAAUGAGCCAGCAGACAGCUUUAGGUCUGUAUUUGCCCAGGCUGUGUUUACUACAGACUGAGUGUCUCCACUAAAUCUGUGUGGAAAUGCUGUUAGCAGAGGACUAACUGCUACCACUGGCCUGUGUUUCUCUGUGUCUCCCGUGAAGGUCAUAGGGUGCCUGUUCUUGAAAGCUUUGCUAUCUCAACGACAGAAUGAACAGAUGAAUAAAUAUAAUACAUAUACAUAUAAAAGGCUCUUUAAAUCUGGUUGUGUCACAGAAGAGCAGUGCUUUUGUUGACCUCUUUCAUCUUUCUGAACUCUGGACUAUUUCACUCCAUGUAGCAGUGAACUUUCCUUAAUGGAAAAUAAUAUCAUUGCUGCUUUAAUUCUUUUUUGGCCUUACGUGUUCCAAGUGAAGCAUCUGAAAAGUCCAUCAGUCCAUGCUAAUAUCAGAUUGUCUCCACAAAAAGCUAGACUGAAUGAAUAGGAGUUUGAAAAAAUAGAAUGGAAAUCUGUCCAAUUAAUGGCCUGGGUAGUGAUUUCAUGUCUUGUGACAAGUGAGAUUACAAAAAACUCAAAAAACUCAAAUAAACAAAACAAAAGAACAAACAACAACAACAAAAACAAUUCUCCACUGUGACAAGCUUUUCACAAGAAUUUUCACAGGGUUGGGUUUUCUGUUUUGUUUUGUUUUGUGUGUUUUAGGUUUUGUUUGUUUGUUUGUUUGUUUGUUUGUUUUUGAAAAAGCCAAUGACAAAUCGACAAUAAUAUGGCCAACAGAAGACUCACCUGAGUUGGAGACUCCCAGGUUCAAAUUUCCCCUGUAAUUUUUCAUGGCACAGAUCAUCCACCAGAUGAUGUGAAACCACUGUAUGUUGAUGAUUUUAUUUCUUUCAGUCUCUUUUCUGAGUCAACAAAUAUUAAUUGGGUCAGAGGCACAAACCUGAAGCUCUCACAAACUCACUUUCUACUGUAAGCACUAGGCAAGGAAGCCAGGUACAAGACUGGGGAAGCAUCACCCUGCCUGUGCAAGCUGAGUGCCAAUAAUCAGGGAGAGGACAAUGGAAGGUGAAAUUAAAAACUAGCAGCUCCUUGUCAUGCCACUCUCUGUACAUACAGGAAGUAUUCAACUAUCACAGUGCAAAGCCUGAAUAAUAAGAGGAGUAGAGCACAGAUUGUAGUCAAUCCACCUAUUUUAUGCAAACUUCAGUAAUAUGGGAAGGUACAAAUGAGUCUGCUUAUAAAUUCAGAUAUGUUGAAACAAACUUUUCCUCUGAGACUGUUCUUGUUUCUCAGCUGAGCUACUGGACAUAUCCUUCUAUGUGGUUUCUAAUAGAGAUGAAAUCAGUAAUAUUGGAGCUACCAUCAUGUAAUUUUCUCAGUUCAUUUGAACCCUGGAAUGUGAUGGUGGGGGAUCACAUAAACAAUCUUAGCACACUAUUACUGUCUAGCUCCAAGGAAGCAAGUCUGCAUCAAGAUUUUACUUUAAUGGGAAUAAAGUUCCCUUCAGCUCUUCUAUUGAAAUUGUCCUUGCACAAUCUUCUGUGCAAAUCAAACCUAAGAACAAUGUCAUAACUUCCCAAGACUCAAAGCCUGUUUGCUUUCUCAAAGCCUAGAAACCUGUCCAUUGCAUGGUUACUUGCUGAAUUGAGCUCUACGAGGAAGGACCUUGGUGUCUUGGUGGGCAACCAGUUGGCCACAAGCCAGCAAGUAUGACCUUGUCGUCAAGAAGGCCAGUGAUAUCCUGGGGUUCAUUAAAAAGAGAGUAGUCAGCAGGUCAAGAGAGGUGAUCCUCCCCCUCUUGUCUGCCCUGGUGAGGCCACAUCUGGGGUACUGUGUCCAGAUCUGGGCUCCCCAGUUCAAAAAAGACUGGAAACUUCUAGAGAGAGUUCAGCAAAGUGCCGUAAAGAAGAUUUGGGUUCUGGAGCAUCUCCCUUAUAAGGCAGGGCUGAGAGACCUUGGGCUGUUCAUCAUGGAGAAAACUUCAGUGAAGAAUAAAGAUGUUUAUGUUACACAGAGUUAUCUUCCAUUGACAUAAAUCAAUCUUGACCUGGCAAAGUUUGUAUUCAUAGACAUAUCUAAGUAUCUUGCCAGUAUUGGGUUCCCUGGUAGAAUAAGAUACAUUUUACCCUACAGAAUGGGAUCCUCCACAUCCAUUGAUGACACAUUUUAUUUGCAAUAUUCAGCUAUUGCAAUGAACAGAUUAAGCUGCCAUAGAAGGUGAUUUCUUCUUUGAGCACUGGAGUGGAAGGAAUUCUCUCUCCCACAGCUUUAAGUCCUCGGGACCCUAAGCCUCUUCAUCACAGUAAAGUCCAGGACUUCCCAGUGCCUCUGAUGGUACUGCUUCUCAGCACUGAGCCACAGAGAGUGCAGGCAGCCAUCUAGGCACAUCCUGCUUAGCUAACAUGCACACACAGGCAUGUGUUCUCAUGAUGACAGCCCCCAUUUAGGCCCUUCAUUCUCCUGGCUAGGCACUUUCACAAGACAUUAAAAAACCUGAAGACUUCACAUUCAUAUGUGAAGUGUAUUAAAAGGUUCAAGAGUGAUUAGAAGGUAGGCAGCACACAUUUAGUGUAAUCAACUAUGUAUCUUCUGGUCUAAUGAUAAGCAAGGUAAAAACUCAG